rnacentral:lncRNA from 1 species
CACCACUCCUGACGGUCCCCUCCAAAGCCUCAGGAAACUCGUUAGCAAUCUUAGAUUAAAUUCAGUGAGUUUCUGGAUCACGACAGGAAGCUAUGUCCAGCACGAAGGUGUCCUGUGAACAGGCUCAAUCACAAGCUCUGCAGAGACAGGAGGUGACAGAGGCCCUAGAAAGCCAGUUCCCGACAACGCCAAUACUGCACGUUUAUCAGCUGCAGCAAGAGCUGGUUGGAGGCGGUGGCAGUACCUCAAUGCUCUUGCCUCGUCUUCAAGAUUCUUCUGUUUGAUGUUGCGUCCUCACUGUUUCUCUGUUGAGGAGCUGUAGUGUGGCUCACAACCAUGCGAUGACUCUCCAGAUUCAAGGAACACAUGUCACCCUCUCUAAAGCCCCCAGGUGCCCAGCGCAGUGCCAUGUGCAGAA